GAUGAACGCUAGCUACAGGCUUAACACAUGCAAGUCGAGGGGAAACAACAUUGAAGCUUGCUUCGAUGGGUGUCGACCGGCGCACGGGUGAGUAACGCGUAUCCAACCUGCCUCUGACUAAGGGAUAACCCGGCGAAAGUCGGACUAAUACCUUAUGAGGUUUUCAGCAGACAUCUAAUGAAAACGAAAGAUUUAUCGGUCAGCGAUGGGGAUGCGUCUGAUUAGCUUGUUGGCGGGGUAACGGCCCACCAAGGCAACGAUCAGUAGGGGUUCUGAGAGGAAGGUCCCCCACAUUGGAACUGAGACACGGUCCAAACUCCUACGGGAGGCAGCAGUGAGGAAUAUUGGUCAAUGGGCGAGAGCCUGAACCAGCCAAGUAGCGUGCAGGAUGACGGCCCUAUGGGUGUGUAAACUGCUUUUAUGUGGGGAUGAAAGUGAGCUACGUGUAGUUUAUUGCAGGUACCACAUGAAUAAGGACCGGCUAAUUCCGUGCCAGCAGCCGCGGUAAUACGGAAGGUCCGGGCGUUAUCCGGAUUUAUUGGGUUUAAAGGGAGCGUAGGCCGUGGAUUAAGCGUGUUGUGAAAUGUAGACGCUCAACGUCUGAAUUGCAGCGCGAACUGGUUCACUUGAGUAUGCACAACGUAGGCGGAAUUCGUCGUGUAGCGGUGAAAUGCUUAGAUAUGACGAAGAACUCCGAUUGCGAAGGCAGCUUACGGGAGCACAACUGACGCUGAAGCUCGAAGGUGCGGGUAUCAAACAGGAUUAGAUACCCUGGUAGUCCGCACAGUAAACGCUGGAUGCCCGUUGUUAGUUCACCUAAGAAUUAGCGACCAAGCGAAAGCAUUAAGCAUCCCACCUGGGGAGUACGCCGGCAACGGUGAAACUCAAAGGAAUUGACGGGGGCCCGCACAAGCGGAGGAACAUGUGGUUUAAUUCGAUGAUACGCGAGGAACCCUUACCCGGGGCUGAAAUUGCAGACGAACGAUUCAGAGAUGAUGAGGCCCCUUCGGGGCGUCUGUGAAGGUGCCUGCAUGGGUUGUCGUCAGCUCGUGCCGGAGGGUGUCGGCUUAAAGUGCCAUAACGAGCGCCACCCCCCUUUUUUCAGUUGCCACAGGGUGAUGCCUGGGCACCUCUGAAAAAUCCUGCCACCGAUAGGGUUUGAGAAGGGUGGGAAUACG
rnacentral:rRNA from 1 species